rnacentral:rRNA from 1 species
CAAUAGCGUAUAUUAAAGUUGUUGCAGUUAAAAAGCUCGUAGUUGGAUUUCUGCUGAGGACGAUCGGUCCGCCCACUGGGUGAGUAUCUGGCUCGGCCUUGGCAUCUUCUUGGAGAACGUUGCUGCACUUGACUGUGUGGCGCGGUAUCCAGGACUUUUACUUUGAGGAAAUUAGAGUGUUUCAAGCAGGCGCACGCCUUGAAUACAUUAGCAUGGAAUAAUGAGAUAGGACCUUGGUUCUAUUUUGUUGGUUUCUAGAGCUGAGGUAAUGAUUAAUAGGGAUAGUUGGGGGCAUUCGUAUUUAACUGUCAGAGGUGAAAUCCUUGGAUUUGUUAAAGACGGACUACUGCGAAAGCAUUUGCCAAGGAUGUUUUCAUUGA